rnacentral:rRNA from 1 species
GACGAACGCUGGCGGCGUGCUUAACACAUGCAAGUCGAACGGUAAGGCCCCUUCGGGGGUACACGAGUGGCGAACGGGUGAGUAACACGUGAGCAACCUGCCCUUGACUCUGGAAUAACAGUUGGAAACAGCUGCUAAUACUGGAUAUUCAUCGUCUCCUUCCUGGGGGGUGGUGGAACACUCCGGCGGUCAGGGAUGGGCUCGCGGCCUAUCAGCUUGUUGGUGAGGUAAUGGCUCACCAAGGCUUCGACGGGUAGCCGGCCUGAGAGGGCGACCGGCCACACUGGGACUGAGAUACGGCCCAGACUCCUACGGGAGGCAGCAGUGGGGAAUAUUGCACAAUGGGCGCAAGCCUGAUGCAGCAACGCCGCGUGCGGGAUGACGGCCUUCGGGUUGUAAACCGCUUUCAGUAGGGACGAAGGGUGACUGACGGUACCUACAGAAGAAGAACCGGCUAACUACGUG